rnacentral:rRNA from 1 species
CUUAUCAGCAGAAGCAGCCAGCUUGCUGGAAGCGGAAGAGGGAAAGGCUUAGUGGCGGACGGGUGAGUAACGCGUGGGUAACCUGGCCCAUACAGGGGGAUAACACUUAGAAAUAGGUGCUAAUACCGCAUAACAACAGAAAGCGCAUGCUUUUUGUUUGAAAACCAAGGCGGUAUGGGAUGGACCCGCGUCUGAUUAGCUGGUUGGCGGGGUAAAGGCCCACCAAGGCGACGAUCAGUAGCCGGCCUGAGAGGGUGGACGGCCACAUUGGGACUGAGACACGGCCCAAACUCCUACGGGAGGCAGCAGUGGGGAAUAUUGCACAAUGGGGGAAACCCUGAUGCAGCGACGCCGCGUGAGUGAAGAAGUAAUUCGUUAUGUAAAGCUCUAUCAGCAGGGAAGAAAAUGACGGUACCUGAGUAAGAAGCCCCGGCUAACUACGUGCCAGCAGCCGCGGUAAUACGUAGGGGGCAAGCGUUAUCCGGAUUUACUGGGUGUAAAGGGAGCGUAGACGGCAGUGCAAGUCUGGAGUGAAAGGCGGGGGCUCAACCCCCGGACUGCUCUGGAAACUGUACGGCUGGAGUGCAGGAGAGGUAAGUGGAAUUCCUAGUGUAGCGGUGAAAUGCGUAGAUAUUAGGAGGAACACCAGUGGCGAAGGCGGCUUACUGGACUGUAACUGACGUUGAGGCUCGAAAGCG